UCGAGAAUUUUUCACAAUGGGCGCAAGCCUGAUGGAGCGACGCCGCGUGGGGGAUGAAUGGCUUCGGCCCGUAAACCCCUGUCAUUUGCGAACAAACGUUAUUAUUUAAAAGAUGAUGACCUGAUUGUAGCGAAAGAGGAAGGGACGGCUAACUCUGUGCCAGCAGCCGCGGUAAUACAGAGGUCCCAAGCGUUGUUCGGAUUCACUGGGCGUAAAGGGUGCGUAGGUGGCGGGGUAAGUCGGAUGUGAAAUCUCCGAGCUCAACUCGGAAAUGGCAUUGGAAACUACCCUGCUCGAGGGUUGGAGGGGGGACUGGAAUACUUGGUGUAGCAGUGAAAUGCGUAGAUAUCAAGUGGAACACCAGUGGCGAAGGCGAGUCCCUGGACAACUCCUGACACUGAGGCACGAAAGCUAGGGGAGCAAACAGGAUUAGAUACCCCUGUAGUCC
rnacentral:rRNA from 1 species